ACUUAAAUUGAAGAGUUUGAUCAUGGCUCAGAUUGAACGCUGGCGGCAGGCCUAACACAUGCAAGUCGAGCGGUAGCACAGAGAGCUUGCUCUCGGGUGACGAGCGGCGGACGGGUGAGUAAUGUCUGGGAAACUGCCUGAUGGAGGGGGAUAACUACUGGAAACGGUAGCUAAUACCGCAUAACGUCGCAAGACCAAAGUGGGGGACCUUCGGGCCUCAUGCCAUCAGAUGUGCCCAGAUGGGAUUAGCUAGUAGGUGGGGUAACGGCUCACCUAGGCGACGAUCCCUAGCUGGUCUGAGAGGAUGACCAGCCACACUGGAACUGAGACACGGUCCAGACUCCUACGGGAGGCAGCAGUGGGGAAUAUUGCACAAUGGGCGCAAGCCUGAUGCAGCCAUGCCGCGUGUGUGAAGAAGGCCUUCGGGUUGUAAAGCACUUUCAGCGGGGAGGAAGGCGUUAAGGUUAAUAACCUUGGCGAUUGACGUUACCCGCAGAAGAAGCACCGGCUAACUCCGUGCCAGCAGCCGCGGUAAUACGGAGGGUGCAAGCGUUAAUCGGAAUUACUGGGCGUAAAGCGCACGCAGGCGGUCUGUCAAGUCGGAUGUGAAAUCCCCGGGCUCAACCUGGGAACUGCAUUCGAAACUGGCAGGCUAGAGUCUUGUAGAGGGGGUAGAAUUCCAGGUGUAGCGGUGAAAUGCGUAGAGAUCUGGAGGAAUACCGGUGGCGAAGGCGGCCCCCUGGACAAAGACUGACGCUCAGGUGCGAAAGCGUGGGGAGCAAACAGGAUUAGAUACCCUGGUAGUCCACGCCGUAAACGAUGUCGAUUUGGAGGUUGUGCCCUUGAGGCGUGGCUUCCGGAGCUAACGCGUUAAAUCGACCGCCUGGGGAGUACGGCCGCAAGGUUAAAACUCAAAUGAAUUGACGGGGGCCCGCACAAGCGGUGGAGCAUGUGGUUUAAUUCGAUGCAACGCGAAGAACCUUACCUGGUCUUGACAUCCACAGAACUUUCCAGAGAUGGAUUGGUGCCUUCGGGAACUGUGAGACAGGUGCUGCAUGGCUGUCGUCAGCUCGUGUUGUGAAAUGUUGGGUUAAGUCCCGCAACGAGCGCAACCCUUAUCCUUUGUUGCCAGCGGUUCGGCCGGGAACUCAAAGGAGACUGCCAGUGAUAAACUGGAGGAAGGUGGGGAUGACGUCAAGUCAUCAUGGCCCUUACGACCAGGGCUACACACGUGCUACAAUGGCAUAUACAAAGAGAAGCGACCUCGCGAGAGCAAGCGGACCUCAUAAAGUAUGUCGUAGUCCGGAUUGGAGUCUGCAACUCGACUCCAUGAAGUCGGAAUCGCUAGUAAUCGUAGAUCAGAAUGCUACGGUGAAUACGUUCCCGGGCCUUGUACACACCGCCCGUCACACCAUGGGAGUGGGUUGCAAAAGAAGUAGGUAGCUUAACCUUCGGGAGGGCGCUUACCACUUUGUGAUUCAUGACUGGGGUGAAGUCGUAACAAGGUAACCGUAGGGGAACCUGCGGUUGGAUCACCUCCUUACCUUAAAGAA
rnacentral:rRNA from 2 species